rnacentral:rRNA from 1 species
UCCUACGGGUGGCAGCAGUGGGGAAUAUUGCGCAAUGGACGAAAGUCUGACGCAGCGACGCCGCGUGGAGGAUGAAGGUUUUCGGAUCGUAAACUCCUGUCAAGAGGGAAGAAACCUAUUAUGAAUAAUACUCAUAGUAAUUGACGGUACCUCUAGAGGAAGCACCGGCUAAUUCAGUGCCAGCAGCCGCGGUAAUACUGAAGGUGCAAGCGUUAAUCGGAAUCACUGGGCGUAAAGCGCUCGUAGGUGGCUUUGUAAGUCAGGUGUGAAAGCCCACGGCUCAACCGUGGAAUUGCACUUGAUACUGCAUCGCUAGAGUAUAGGAGAGGGAAGUGGAAUUUCUGGUGUAGGAGUGAAAUCCGUAGAGAUCAGAAGGAACACCCGUGGCGAAGGCGACUUCCUGGACUAUUACUGACACUGAGGAGCGAAAGCGUGGGGAGCAAACAGGAUUAGAUACCCUGGUAGUCCACGCCGUAAACGAUGGGUACUAGGUGUUGGGGGCUUGACCCUCGGUGCCGUAAUUAACGCGUUUAAGUAGCCCGCCUGUGGACUACUGACCCAAGGCUCACACUCGAAACAAACUGACAGGGACGCCCAA